rnacentral:rRNA from 1 species
UACGGAGGGGGCGAGCGUUAUUCGGAUUUACUGGGCGUAAAGCGUGUGUAGGCGGUCGUGUAAGUCUGGUGUGAAAUCUUCACCGCUCAACGGGAAGAGGUCACUGGAAACUGCACGACUAGAGUAUGGAAGAGGCAAGCGGAAUUCCUGGUGGAGCGGUGGAAUGUGCAGAUAUCAGGAAGAACACCGGUGGCGAAGGCGGCUUGCUGGGCCAUUACUGACGCUGAGACACGAAAGCGUGGGGAGCGAACGGGAUUAGAUACCCCGGUAGUCCACGCCGUAAACGGUGCACACUAGGUGUGGAGGGUAUCGACCCCCUCUGUGCCGAAGUUAACACAUUAAGUGUGCCGCCUGGGAAGUACGACCGCAAGGUUGAA